rnacentral:lncRNA from 1 species
UAUAGGAUUCACAUGCCCCCAAUAAGUCUCCUUUUGAGGAUGCUCAAGUGGGUCCCCAUAAACCUCACUAGUGCUUGUAAGCAAAAAUCUUGCCCCGAUUCUCUUGGCAAGUCCCAACAUGUUUAAAGUGCCCAUCACGUUCGAUAUAAUAGUCUUGACAGGAUUGUACUUAUAAUGAACAGGGGAAGCAGGACAAGCCAAAUGAUAGAUCUGAUCAACCUCCAACAAAAUAGGCUCAACCACAUCAUGCCUAAUUAGCUCAAAUCUAGGGUUCCCAAAAUGAUGCAUAACAUUCUCUUUUCUCCCAGUAAAGAAAUUGUCAAUCACAAUCACAUCAUCCCCUCUAGCAAUCAACUUAUCCACCAAAUGACUACCCACAAACCCAGAUCCACCUGUCACCACCACCCGCCGCCGCUUCCGCCCUAUACUCACCGGAACCCGCCCCACCGCCUGCCGGGUUACUGAUUCUCGACCGGGGAUUGUUAUUGGGGUGUUGUAAAGUGAUGUGAUUUCAUCGGUUGUGGUGAGUGUGGUGAUUGUGGAAAUUGGGGAGAUUGAUGGUUUGAAGAGGACGAAGGUGGAUCCGAUCAAGAUUCCGAUUAGGAUGAAGAGAAGACGUUGUUCUUUGAGGAUGUAAUUGAUGGAUCUUGGGAGGUGUCUGUGGGAAUUGGAGGAUGAGUGUUUGAGGGAUUUGGGGGAGUAUGGUGGGGUUUCAGUGGUGGGUGUGGGUGUUUCUUCAUCUCUUCUUUGGUGUAAUUGCUUCAUGUUGUUGAUGAUUGUUGGGUUCGGGGAUUAAUGAACAUGAGAGGGAGGGAGGGAGGGGGGUCUGGAGAUUUGUGGGUUUUGAGGAUCUGUAAUGAUGU